rnacentral:rRNA from 1 species
UACGUAGGGUGCAAGCGUUGUCCGGAAUUAUUGGGCGUAAAGGGCUCGUAGGCGGCCAACUAAGUCGGACGUGAAAUCCCUCAGCUUAACUGGGGAACUGCGUCCGAUACUGGAUGGCUUGGAUUUGGGAGAGGGAUGCGGAAUUCCAGGUGUAGCGGUGAAAUGCGUAGAUAUCUGGAGGAACACCGGUGGCGAAGGCGGCAUCCUGGACCAAUAUUGACGCUGAGGAGCGAAAGCUAGGGGAGCAAACGGG